rnacentral:rRNA from 1 species
CGGACCGGCGCACGGGUGAGUAACGCGUAUGCAACUUACCUAUCAGGAGGGGAGAACCCGGCGAAAGUCGGACUAAUACCGCAUAAAGCAGGGAUCCCGCACGGGAAUAUUUGCUAAAGAUUCAUCGCUGAUAGAUAGGCAUGCGUUCCAUUAGGCAGUUGGCGGGGUAACGGCCCACCAAACCGACGAUGGAUAGGGGUUCUGAGAGGAAGGUCCCCCACAUUGGUACUGAGACACGGACCAA